rnacentral:rRNA from 1 species
GAUGAACGCUGACAGAAUGCUUAACACAUGCAAGUCGAUGGGGAAGUGGUGCUUGCACCAUGGUAACCAUGGCGGACGGGUGAGUAACGCGUAAGGAACUUGCCUGCGGGACUGGGAUAACAGCAGGAAACUGCUGAUAAUACCUGAUAAGGUCAUUAAGCUGCAUAGCUUAGUGAUGAAAGGAGACGCCUGCGGAGAGCCUUGCGUCCUAUUAGCUAGUUGGUGGGGUAACGGCCCACCAAGGCGAAGAUAGGUAGCCGGCCUGAGAGGGUGGACGGCCACAAGGGGACUGGGAUACGGCCCUUACUCCUACGGGAGGCAGCAGUGGGGAAUAUUGGACAAUGGGGGCAACCCUGAUCCAGCAAUUCUGUGUGCACGAAGACGGUUUUCGGAUUGUAAAGUGCUUUCAGCAGGGAAGAAGGAAGUGACGGUACCUGCAGAAGAAGCGACGGCUAAAUACGUG